AGAGUUUGAUCAUGGCUCAGAUUGAACGCUGGCGGCAUGCCUUACACAUGCAAGUCGAACGGCAGCGCGGGGGUAACCCUGGCGGCGAGUGGCGAACGGGUGAGUAAUACAUCGGAACGUGUCCUGGAGUGGGGGAUAGCUCGGCGAAAGCCGGAUUAAUACCGCAUACGCUCUGUGGAGGAAAGCGGGGGAUCUUCGGACCUCGCGCUCAAGGGGCGGCCGAUGGCGGAUUAGCUAGUUGGUGGGGUAAAGGCCUACCAAGGCGACGAUCCGUAGCUGGUCUGAGAGGACGACCAGCCACACUGGGACUGAGACACGGCCCAGACUCCUACGGGAGGCAGCAGUGGGGAAUUUUGGACAAUGGGGGAAACCCUGAUCCAGCAAUGCCGCGUGUGUGAAGAAGGCCUUCGGGUUGUAAAGCACUUUUGUUCGGGAAGAAAUCCUUCGGGCUAAUACCUUGAGGGGAUGACGGUACCGAAAGAAUAAGCACCGGCUAACUACGUGCCAGCAGCCGCGGUAAUACGUAGGGUGCGAGCGUUAAUCGGAAUUACUGGGCGUAAAGCGUGCGCAGGCGGUUCGCUAAGACCGAUGUGAAAUCCCCGGGCUUAACCUGGGAACUGCAUUGGUGACUGGCGGGCUAGAGUAUGGCAGAGGGGGGUAGAAUUCCACGUAGCAGUGAAAUGCGUAGAGAUGUGGAGGAAUACCGAUGGCGAAGGCAGCCCCCUGGGCCAAUACUGACGCUCAUGCACGAAAGCGUGGGGAGCAAACAGGAUUAGAUACCCUAGUAGUCC
rnacentral:rRNA from 1 species